rnacentral:rRNA from 1 species
CUCCGGUCCCAGUACUAACGCGUUUAAGUCCCCCGCCUGGGAAGUACGGGUCACAACGCUGAAACUCAAAGAAAUUGACGGGGCCCGCACAAGCGGUGAAGCAUGUGGUUUAAUUCGAUGCAACCCAAAAAACCUUACCUGGGUUUAAACUGCUGGGACCGUUCUGGAGACAGAAUCUUCCUUCGGGGACUCCAGCAGAGGUGCUGCAUGGCUGUCGUCAGCUCGUGCCGUGAGGUGUUGGGUUAAGUCCCGCAACGAGCGCAACCCUUGCCCCUAGUUGCCAGCGGGUAAUGCCGGGGACUCUAGGGGGACUGCCGGUGACAAACCGGAGGAAGGUGGGGAUGACGUCAAGUCAUCAUGGCCUUUAUGUCCAGGGCUACACACGUGCUACAAUGGUCGGUACAAAGGGCUGCAAACCCGCGAGGGGGAGCUAAUCCCAAAAAGCCGGCCUCAGUUCGGAUUGCAGUCUGCAACUCGACUGCAUGAAGGUGGAAUCGCUAGUAAUCGCGUAUCAGAACGACGCGGUGAAUACGUUCCCGGGCCUUGUACACACCGCCCGUCACAUCACGAAAGUCAGCUGUACCCGAAGCCGGUGGGCCAACCCGCAAGGGAGGCAGCCGUCCACGGUGUGGUUGGCGAUUGGGGUGAAGUCGUAACAAGGUAA